rnacentral:rRNA from 1 species
UACGUAGGCGGAAAAUUAAGUCAGUAGUGAAAUCCCGCAGCUUGACUGUGGAACUGUUAUUGAUACUGGUUUUCUUGAAUAUAGUUGAGGUAGGCGGAAUGUGUAAUGUAGCGGUGAAAUGCUUAGAUAUUACACAGAACACCGAUUGCGAAGGCAGCUUACUAAGCUAUGAUUGACGCUGAGGUACGAAAGCGUGGGGAGCGAACAGGAUUAGAUACCCUGGUAGUCC